CUCCUUCUUUCUCUGGCAACCCCACGUCGAUGAACACGCGACGUGGAUAGCCCUCCAGUGAAUCGCCCAUUAAAUCAGGCAGAUACCUUGUCUUUUUCAAGUAUCGUCUUGACUUGCCUGAAGCUGCUCGUGGGGGUUCUAAGAGCACAUCUUCCAGGUUCUUUAGUGCAGCCUUUCGUGCCUCAGUUCUAUAUGCAAGGAGCUUCCUU
rnacentral:misc_RNA from 1 species